GGCUCUGUAGUGUAGCGGUUAUCACUCAAGAUUCUGAUCUCAGCGUUCUUGAAACCCAGGUUCGAUUCCUGGCAGGGCCU